GACGAACGCUGGCGGCGUGCUUAACACAUGCAAGUCGAACGCUGAAGCCCUGGCUUUUGUUGGGUUGGAUGAGUGGCGAACGGGUGAGUAACACGUGAGUAACCUGCCCUCUUCUUUGGGAUAACGCCCGGAAACGGGUGCUAAUACUGGAUAUUCACUGAUCUUCGCAUGGGGGUUGGUGGAAAGGUUUGUUCUGGUGGGGGAUGGGCUCGCGGCCUAUCAGCUUGUUGGUGGGGUGAUGGCCUACCAAGGCUUUGACGGGUAGCCGGCCUGAGAGGGUGACCGGUCACAUUGGGACUGAGAUACGGCCCAGACUCCUACGGGAGGCAGCAGUGGGGAAUAUUGCACAAUGGGCGAAAGCCUGAUGCGGCGGCGCCGCGUGAGGGAUGGAGGCCUUCGGGUUGUAAACCUCUUUCGCUCAUGGUCAAGCCGCAACUGUGGGUUGUGGUGAGGGUAGUGGGUAAAGAAGCGCCGGCUAACUACGUG
rnacentral:rRNA from 1 species